rnacentral:rRNA from 1 species
UUAAGCGACUAAGCGUACACGGUGGAUGCCCUGGCAGUCAGAGGCGAUGAAGGACGUGCUAAUCUGCGAUAAGCGUCGGUAAGGUGAUAUGAACCGUUAUAACCGGCGAUUUCCGAAUGGGGAAACCCAGUGUGAUUCGUCACACUAUCAUUAACUGAAUCCAUAGGUUAAUGAGGCGAACCGGGGGAACUGAAACAUCUAAGUACCCCGAGGAAAAGAAAUCAACCGAGAUUCCCCCAGUAGCGGCGAGCGAACGGGGAGGAGCCCAGAGCCUGAAUCAGUGUGUGUGUUAGUGGAAGCGUCUGGAAAGGCGCGCGAUACAGGGUGACAGCCCCGUACACAAAAAUACACAUAUUGUGAGCUCGAUGAGUAGGGCGGGACACGUGGUAUCCUGUCUGAAUAUGGGGGGACCAUCCUCCAAGGCUAAAUACUCCUGACUGACCGAUAGUGAACCAGUACCGUGAGGGAAAGGCGAAAAGAACCCCGGCGAGGGGAGUGAAAAAGAACCUGAAACCGUGUACGUACAAGCAGUGGGAGCACGCUUAGGCGUGUGACUGCGUACCUUUUGUAUAAUGGGUCAGCGACUUAUAUUCUGUAGCAAGGUUAACCGAAUAGGGGAGCCGAAGGGAAACCGAGUCUUAACUGGGCGUUAAGUUGCAGGGUAUAGACCCGAAACCCGGUGAUCUAGCCAUGGGCAGGUUGAAGGUUGGGUAACACUAACUGGAGGACCGAACCGACUAAUGUUGAAAAAUUAGCGGAUGACUUGUGGCUGGGGGUGAAAGGCCAAUCAAACCGGGAGAUAGCUGGUUCUCCCCGAAAGCUAUUUAGGUAGCGCCUCGUGAAUUCAUCUCCGGGGGUAGAGCACUGUUUCGGCAAGGGGGUCAUCCCGACUUACCAACCCGAUGCAAACUGCGAAUACCGGAGAAUGUUAUCACGGGAGACACACGGCGGGUGCUAACGUCCGUCGUGAAGAGGGAAACAACCCAGACCGCCAGCUAAGGUCCCAAAGUCAUGGUUAAGUGGGAAACGAUGUGGGAAGGCCCAGACAGCCAGGAUGUUGGCUUAGAAGCAGCCAUCAUUUAAAGAAAGCGUAAUAGCUCACUGGUCGAGUCGGCCUGCGCGGAAGAUGUAACGGGGCUAAACCAUGCACCGAAGCUGCGGCAGCGACGCUUAUGCGUUGUUGGGUAGGGGAGCGUUCUGUAAGCCUGUGAAGGUGUGCUGUGAGGCAUGCUGGAGGUAUCAGAAGUGCGAAUGCUGACAUAAGUAACGAUAAAGCGGGUGAAAAGCCCGCUCGCCGGAAGACCAAGGGUUCCUGUCCAACGUUAAUCGGGGCAGGGUGAGUCGACCCCUAAGGCGAGGCCGAAAGGCGUAGUCGAUGGGAAACAGGUUAAUAUUCCUGUACUUGGUGUUACUGCGAAGGGGGGACGGAGAAGGCUAUGUUGGCCGGGCGACGGUUGUCCCGGUUUAAGCGUGUAGGCUGGUUUUCCAGGCAAAUCCGGAAAAUCAAGGCUGAGGCGUGAUGACGAGGCACUACGGUGCUGAAGCAACAAAUGCCCUGCUUCCAGGAAAAGCCUCUAAGCAUCAGGUAACAUCAAAUCGUACCCCAAACCGACACAGGUGGUCAGGUAGAGAAUACCAAGGCGCUUGAGAGAACUCGGGUGAAGGAACUAGGCAAAAUGGUGCCGUAACUUCGGGAGAAGGCACGCUGAUAUGUAGGUGAAGUCCCUCGCGGAUGGAGCUGAAAUCAGUCGAAGAUACCAGCUGGCUGCAACUGUUUAUUAAAAACACAGCACUGUGCAAACACGAAAGUGGACGUAUACGGUGUGACGCCUGCCCGGUGCCGGAAGGUUAAUUGAUGGGGUUAGCGCAAGCGAAGCUCUUGAUCGAAGCCCCGGUAAACGGCGGCCGUAACUAUAACGGUCCUAAGGUAGCGAAAUUCCUUGUCGGGUAAGUUCCGACCUGCACGAAUGGCGUAAUGAUGGCCAGGCUGUCUCCACCCGAGACUCAGUGAAAUUGAACUCGCUGUGAAGAUGCAGUGUACCCGCGGCAAGACGGAAAGACCCCGUGAACCUUUACUAUAGCUUGACACUGAACAUUGAGCCUUGAUGUGUAGGAUAGGUGGGAGGCUUGGAAGUGUGGACGCCAGUCUGCAUGGAGCCGACCUUGAAAUACCACCCUUUAAUGUUUGAUGUUCUAACGUUGACCCGUAAUCCGGGUUGCGGACAGUGUCUGGUGGGUAGUUUGACUGGGGCGGUCUCCUCCUAAAGAGUAACGGAGGAGCACGAAGGUUGGCUAAUCCUGGUCGGACAUCAGGAGGUUAGUGCAAUGGCAUAAGCCAGCUUGACUGCGAGCGUGACGGCGCGAGCAGGUGCGAAAGCAGGUCAUAGUGAUCCGGUGGUUCUGAAUGGAAGGGCCAUCGCUCAACGGAUAAAAGGUACUCCGGGGAUAACAGGCUGAUACCGCCCAAGAGUUCAUAUCGACGGCGGUGUUUGGCACCUCGAUGUCGGCUCAUCACAUCCUGGGGCUGAAGUAGGUCCCAAGGGUAUGGCUGUUCGCCAUUUAAAGUGGUACGCGAGCUGGGUUUAGAACGUCGUGAGACAGUUCGGUCCCUAUCUGCCGUGGGCGCUGGAGAACUGAGGGGGGCUGCUCCUAGUACGAGAGGACCGGAGUGGACGCAUCACUGGUGUUCGGGUUGUCAUGCCAAUGGCACUGCCCGGUAGCUAAAUGCGGAAGAGAUAAGUGCUGAAAGCAUCUAAGCACGAAACUUGCCCCGAGAUGAGUUCUCCCUGACCCUUUAAGGGUCCUGAAGGAACGUUGAAGACGACGACGUUGAUAGGCCGGGUGUGUAAGCGCAGCGAUGCGUUGAGCUAACCGGUACUAAUGAACCGUGAGGCUUAACCUU